UUUUUCUCUUUGCACGUGUGUUUGUUUUGAUAUUUUGGGUUUUAAAGAAAGUUUUAUUCUUGAAUAAUUAUCAUAAAUGUAUAGUACGUUUACUUAGAUAUAUAUGCAGUGAAUUCAAGAGUAACAUGUGAAGACUAUAAUGAAAUCGUAAAUCUUGAAGAUCAGUCUACAGUAUACAUUUCAAAUGCCUUCAUCCUGUUUUAUUCAAAGGGUCAUGAUUUCAGUUCAGUAUUGGGUGUGAAAGCAAAUUUGUAUGUUUUUUGAAAGGCUCCAUUCUUUUACAGUGGCAGAUACAACCUUUUACUAUGAAGCCAAUGUUUUUUUACUGACCUGGGAAAAUGAACAUGACUAAUGAAAUCUACAGUAAUAAGGAAAUUUGCAGAAACAUUUCUAAUAUUAGUAGCUUCUAUUUGAAUAUAUUUUUUAAAUUCUUCCUGCUUUAAGGCCAAAUAAAUGAAACAUGUUUGAUGUUUCCUUGUUUCAUGCGGCUAUCUCUUGUUGUUACUGGCAAAACACAAAGGCAAUCUUGUAGAAAUGCUCAUAUUGUCAGCAAUUUAUCAGACCUGCCAACUCACCCGAUCCUGUCGGGUGUCACCCGAUAUCUAAACAAAUCUCCAGUUCUCCCAGAUCGAAUGUAGUUUUUAACCGAUUUCACUGAUUUUGCAGGUUCCAUCCGCAAAAUACUCUGAUUUAUGCAUAAAUGAUUUAUUGGAUCAUUAUUAUCCAAUGUAUUCGCCUCGAUACACAAGCAGCAAUUUAAUAAGUUGUUUUGCAGUAAUUUUGUACCAUUGAUUUUAUACCACUAUGAUUUGUCUGGACGUGUCUUUUUUAGUACAUUGGAUCAUCUUUUUGGUAAUACUGGAAACCUCCAGAUUUUUUAGUAAAUCUCCAGAUUUUUUUAAGAUUUAAAAAAAAGAUUUUCAUGACCCAGGGGUUGGCAGAUCUGAUUUAUGCUCAUAUUGUCAUUAGCCAUUUAUGCUCAUACUGUAGUGUCAGCAAAUUGUGCUCACAUUGUCAGCAACUUAUACUCAUAUUGUCAGUAACUUGUGUCAUAUUGUCAGCAACUUAUGCUCAUAUUGUCAGCAACUCUUAUCCUUAUAUUGUCAGCAACUUACACUCAUGUUGUAAUAGUAAUUUUUAUGCUCAUAUUGUCAGCAACUUAUCCUCAUUGUCAGCAAAUUAUGCUCAUAUUGUCAAUAACGUAUAUUGCUCAUAUUGUCAGCACAUUUGCUCAUGUUGUCAGCAAAUUAUGCUCAUAUUGUCAACAACCUAUGCUAAUAUUGUCAGCAACUUAUGCUCAUAUUGUAUUGUCCUGGUAUUAUAGAGAAGCGAAAUCCAAAGACAAUAUUAAUGAAGGUUUUUGACAUAGAAACAUCCUCAUAGUAUUACUAAUAAUUAUUCAUAUUUCAUAUGGUAUGCAAAUUACAAGUUUCUCAAUUUUUUUCCUCUCAUAAAUCAUCCUCAAAUUAAAUGAUACAAAUGCUCUAAAAUGCAAGUAUUACAGUAUCCUCAAGUGUCUGUAUCUGAUGACAAAAAACAAAAACAAGACAUUAAAAAAACAAUCAUUCUAAAACCAUGUACAGACUAAUCAAAUUUUAUUUGACAAAAACAUGUGAUAUGCCUAAAUAUGGUCAUGAUGACAUCACAUCAUGGGAAUGCAACAGUUUUUUAAGUUACUGCACUAUUAGCCUCUAUUAUUACAUCCACUGUAAGCAGUCAUUUUAUACAUAUAAACAUGUACUAAAUCAUCACAAUAAACAUUAUUAGAUUUUUCUAUGCAAAGUCAAUCAUUGGUAUUAAAUAGCAGUCGCUCUCAGUAAACAUAUAUUAAAUUUGUAGCGUAUGGAGACUCGCUUCCUGGAAGCUAAACAAUGAAGGAAAAUUAAUUCCAUAAUAAACAAAGCUAUCAAAGUACAGAUACUGAAUUAUUUAAACAGAUACUGAAAUUAAUUUUAGCAGUGUCUUUCUUGGAAAUUAUCGGCUAUCAAAGGGAUACUGCUGUUCAACUAUUAAACUAUUCAACUAUUAAGGAAAACAAAGGAGAGCAAUGCAUUUUUAAUGCUUAUUUGAAUAUUUUUAUAUCCUCUAAAUACCUUUUAAAUUAAAUUUGCUCAUUUAUUGAUUUUUACACAUUUUUCUAUAUUUCAAUAUUUAUCUUUCGAUUUUUUUUCUUUUUGAAGAAUGUUGUAUUGUAAGUAUUUGUGUUUUUCUCGUGAAGGGCCUCCACUCGACAGUGAUUGAUUUUAUUUUGGAAUGUCCUGUCUCUUUUUUUGUACUUUUAUGAUUGUUCUUUGCCGUUUCUGUUAUAUGUACAUUUUAA